UACGUAGGGUCCGAGCGUUGUCCGGAAUUACUGGGCGUAAAGAGCGCGCAGGCGGUCGAUCAAGUCGAGUGUGAAAGCCCCCGGCUCAACUGGGGAGGGUCAUUCGAUACUGAUCGACUCGAAGGCAGGAGAGGGUAGUGGAAUUCCCAGUGUAGAGGUGAAAUUCGUAGAUAUUGGGAAGAACACCGGUGGCGAAGGCGGCGCUCUGGACCGAGACUGACGCUGAGGCGCGAAAGCGUGGGGAGCAAACAGG
rnacentral:rRNA from 1 species